GCCAGCGUGGUGGACUAUGACCUAAACCCUUCUCCUUCUGAGUGGAGACUCGUGCUCAGUAGUGGGCCAACGAUG